CCUGGCGCAGGUUUGCCUUGGCUGCAAUUAUGCCUGAUCGCCAUCCUCCCCUCCACGCGCCACUGCCCCACCCAACCAACCAGCAAUUAGUCAUCCCCUGCCCUCCCCCUCCCCAAACCAAAGAGCGCACAACCGUGAUUCCUUUGUCCCCGUGAAAGAAAAAGAGAGAGAGAGAGCUCAUGUAACUAUUCAGAGAGGAGCAAAUUAAUUCGAAGAUGAGCACCAAAAAAGCAACCAUUUCAUCUCAUCCUGACUUGUUCACAGAACCGGAAACAAACAGCACUAAAGAAAAGCUCACUGGCCAUUAUUCCUCCUUCGGAUGCACAAGAAGCAUGUAUUUUUCAUCUCAUCACCCUCGUCCAUGAGACUGCAUGAGCUCAACUCGAGUUUUGAAUAGAGUCAUUUUGAAUGAAAAUAAAAUACAUAAUUGCCAAUUCCCAUCGCACAACACCACCAAUAAUUCAACGCUAUGAGCAGCAUUCACCUCUCUCUCUUUGUACUCCUUCCUAAAUAUUAAUUAUCCAAAUUGAGUUGUACAUUAAACAUUUCUACAUGCAACACAACACGCUCGUCGUCGCCGUCGUUGUGACUCCGCAGGUCGGAAAGAGAGCAUAAUAAGAAAUCAUGAGCCGAGUGUUGCCGAAUUCAAAACAGCACCCCCACAUUAUUUCAUACUUUACGAAACAACAGUGUUUGAAGAGCUGCCGAUGGACCAAAGUGCUUGUCCAACAGUUCCUCCUCAGCACCACUCCUCCUUACUUGGCAUUUUAGCUAGCGGAUAGAAGAACCGUAUUUCUUAUUUUCAUCAGUCUUCAAAGUAUACAACAAAGCACACAAAACAAACAAGGCUCCUUGCACGCUAUUCACGAUAUGCGUCCGAUUUUCUGCUGAGCUGCUGCUUCAUGGACGGAGCUGAUGGGAGCUUUUUGAAUGGAAUUACGAUAACAACUAUAACAAGCCCAACUCCUCCCACCAGCGCACCAUUACUUUUUACGAGCUUCAACUGUCCAUUUCCCAAAUACCUAUCAUCAUCAACUUUCUCUCGAACAGAUCGUACGUAGGCUCGGACUGUGUUCCCCACGGAAUGAUGAUGAUUACAUUAUGAUGACUGGUUUUGCAUCAUCCCUCGAGUCGUGAGUCAGUCUCUCAAUAAUCUCAACCAAUAAUUCCCCGUUUUCCCAGCAUGUAAAACAGAAUAAAUUACAAGUCACAAAAAAAGUAUGGAAAUAAAUUUAAUUGAUUUUUUCAUCUCCUUGUAGAAAAUAAA